rnacentral:rRNA from 1 species
UACUAGAGUAGCACUCGCAUAUCAAUAAGCGGAGGAAAAGAAACUAACAAGGAUUCCCCUAGUAACGGCGAGUGAAGCGGGAAGAGCUCAAAUUUGAAAUCUUAAAGGGUUUCCCUUUACGAAUUGUAGUUUAAAGAAGUGUUUUCUGUUGAGGUUUUGGUAAAAGUUCUUUGGAAUAGGACAUCAUAGAGGGUGAGAAUCCCGUAUUUGACCUUUACUUUCAACUUUGUGAUACACUUUCAAAGAGUCGGAUUGUUUGGGAAUGCAGUCCAAAAUGGGUGGUAAAUUUCAUCUAAAGCUAAAUAUUGGCGAGAGACCGAUAGCGAACAAGUACCGUGAGGGAAAGAUGAAAAGAACUUUGAAAAGAGAGUUAAACAGUACGUGAAAUUGUCAAAAGGGAAGCGUUUGACACCAGUGUUGUUUUUUCUGAAAAUCAAUUAAAGAACUGUUUAUGCUAAGUUGUUUAGACUUUAUCAGCUAACUGUUUAGUUUUGAGCUUUUCUUUAAUGCACUUUUCAGUUAACAAGUCAACAUCAAUUUCUUUUGCUGUAAAAAAGCUUGAGGAAGGUGGCUUGAGAUUCGUCUUAAGUGUUUAUAGCCUCUUGCCUAUGCAGUCGGAGAGAUUGAGGUCUGCAGCGUAGAUCCUUCGGGGCUAAAUGCAUUUGUGCUAAGUUAUAGCAUUUUAUAGACAACUUGUUGACUAUGAUUUGUCUUGUAGCUUACUCGCUUAUGUUAUUUUACCUACGCUUAGGAUGUUGAACUACUGAGACAUAGA